AACUGCCUACGGGGCGCAGCAGUAGGGAAUCUUCCACAAUGGACGAAAGUCUGAUGGAGCAACGCCGCGUGAGUGAAGAAGGGUUUCGGCUCGUAAAGCUCUGUUGGUAGUGAAGAAAGAUAGAGGUAGUAACUGGCCUUUAUUUGACGGUAAUUACUUAGAAAGUCACGGCUAACUACGCGCCAGCAGCCGCGGUAAUACGUAGGUGGCAAGCGUUGUCCGGAUUUAUUGGGCGUAAAGCGAGUGCAGGCGGUUUCAUAAGUGUUAUUUGGA
rnacentral:rRNA from 1 species